rnacentral:misc_RNA from 1 species
GAAGCAUAAGGGUGCUCUUCAUUGAGGCUCGUUUUAACUAUCCAUUACACUUUGUGCAUUUGAAAAACCUUCAUCUCUCAAUUUUGAAGCCUCCGGGUCACAAAAACGAGUUUUGAUUGUAUUAUAUUAUAACCCCUUUGAAUAUUUUGACUUGAUGAUGAUGUAUAAACCUUGAAAUGAAAGAAACAACUUUCAGCAACGGAUUUCUUGGCUCU